UUCCUUCCUUCCUUCCUUCCUUCCUUCCUUCCUUCCUUCCUUCCUUCCUUCCUUCCUUCCUUCCUUCCUUCCUUCCUUCCUUCCUUCCUUCCCUCCUUCCCUCCUUCCUUCCUUCCUUCCUUCCUUCCUUCCUUCCUUCCUUCCUUCCUUCCUUCCUUCCUUCCUUCCUUCCUUCCUUCCUUCCUUCCUUCCCUCCUCAUCCUUGUCCCCCCAGUAUCUCCUUCAUUCCACCAUUGGUUUUCUCCUGAACUGAUGAAACUUUCUUGGGGUCAUAACCUUACUUAUUCAGGGACUGUUAAUCCAGCUUGCCCUUUAAUUUAGAGGAUUUUCUAUUAUUCAUUAAAACAUGUAUAGUAGAGGGAUUGAGAUGAGAAAAGCCAAAGAAUGAAAAACAUCUUCAUUGGCUAGAAAAUUUUCUAGUAAAAUUAAUGGCCACAGUCAGAUUUUUUUCAUUAUCCAUGGAUUUCACUUUGUUACCGAGCUAGUCACAAACAACAGUCAGCUCUUCAAAUAGUGGCACUGGUCUCAAAUAAACAAACAGGAAACUCCUCACUUUAUGUUCUUACAUUAUUGGAAUAUUCAUUUGAACAACUUCUUCAGCAGGCACCAAUAAAAUAUCUGACUAGUAAUUUUUACUUCUUUCUUUUGGAGACAUCUUCACCAUCCAUGUAUUCCUCAACUAGCAUCUGGUUCUGGAUUCUAUCUUUAUAGCUCCACUGAAGUUGUUUUCUUAAAGUUCUCCAAUCAACAAAUCCAAUCCUUUUUUUUUGUUUGUUUGUUUGAAUUCUAUUCAGUUUUUCAGAUGCUCUUGGAAUUCUUGAUAAUGCCUUCCUUGAGUUUUCUCCUUCCUAGACUAUAUGAUACUAUAUUAUGCUGCUUCUUCUGCUUUACUUACACAACAUCUCCCCUCUUUCUUUAGUGGUACCAUUUUUUUCCUUCCUAUCUCACUCAAAUGCAGGCAUUUGUUCUUUAAGGCUGUAUCAUAUUUCCUUUUUUCUUCCUCUAUGCUUUCUUCUUUAACAAUAUCAUUUACUCUCAUGUUUUCAACUAACAAUUUUGUAUGAUGAUUUCAAUUCUAGAACUCUAAAUGCAAACUCUCAGUCAGAUCCUGGUCUUGAAUUUUCAAGGAUCUACUGAACACUAAAUCUGGGUGUCCCACUGGAAUCUCUAAUUUAGCAGCUCUAAAAUAAAGUUAUCUCUACUCUUCAAACCAACUCUUCUACAUGACUUUAUCGUAAGCACCAUCCACAAAUGACACUUGUGUUCAUAGAGUGACUAUUUAUCCAGUCACUCAUGCUCAAAAUGUCACUUAUCUUCCCUCCUCUACCCCUCCCCACUAUCCCACUUCACCUCCCAACAUUCUAUUAACUAUCAACUUCUGUCAAUUUUUAUUCUACAAAGUCUCUUCUAUCCAUCUGAUUUUCCUUUUAUAUUUCCAUCUGUACCUCUAAUUCAUUUAUCUCUUUCUUGGCCUACCUACUUUGCUCUUUUCUUUCCUCUCUCCUUUCCUGAGACUGAGUUCUCUACUGCUUCUAGCUAACUUUUCCCAAGGCUAAAAUACUAUUCCUCUGCUCAUACAACAAAUGAACAACAAUGAUGAAAACACCCUCCCCUCACUAAAUUUCUUUUAUUACCCUUCAAAUAAAAUAUAAACUCUUUAGUAUUCAAAGACCUUUGUAUUCUCUUCCCAACUUUAGAUAGCACUUAAUGAAGUAACCAUUCUCUGAACAUAUUUUUAUACUUUUGCUUGUAUCUUUUUUCUAUCUGGGAUGUUAACUUUCUUACCUUCCAUAUUCAUUUUCAUUUUCUUUCCCUCCCAAGAACUUUACCUUCCAUCUUAGAAUCAAUACUGUGUGUUGGUUCCACAGCCGAGGAGUGAUGAGGGUAAGGACUAGGCAAUGGGGGUUAAAUGACUUGCCCAGGGUCCUACAACUGGAAAAUAUCUGAAGCCAGAUUUGAACCAGAUCUCCCAUCUCUAGAUCUGGCUCUCAAUCCACUAAGCUAACUAUCUGCCCCCAUGUUCAUUUUCUAAUAUCUAAGUUUUAUCCUCCAUUUUGAGGUUUAAGUGAAAUUUCUAUGACUUGAUUCCUCUCUACCCAAAGCUUGAAGUGAUCUCAACUUCCUCUCAAUCACACUUUGAACCUUGUUUCUCACCCAUUACCUUCAAAUAACAAAUCUCCUCCUCCACACAAUGUUUAAGUCAUUGAUCUAAGCACCCAGGAUCCAAAGAUGAAAUAAAAAACAGUUUGUAUUCUCAGGGGUCUUCCAUUCUAGUAGAUUUAGCUUCUUCUGCUCACUAUACUCUGUCAGGUAUCAUUUGUUUAACUACAAGAAUUUCUACUAAAAAUGUUGAAGUUACUGGCUUGCUUCUUUUGAGAAAUAAUGGGAAAAAGUUUUUCUGGGCCACCAAGGAAUUUGGAUAGAACCUUGAAUUUUACUAUUAUAGAAAUUUUAACUCAGAGUGCUGGAUACAUUGAAAAGUCAGUUGUAUGCAAUGUAUGAGCAGGAGGCGCUCUAAGUCAUCUCCUCAAGUCCAAACCUGAAAAGAUUUUCUUAUAUAACUUCACUGCGAAAUAAUCAUGCAACUUCUGCUUAAAAAUGUCUAGUGAGAAGAAACUAUAUUUCCCAAGUUGGUUCAUUCCUACUCUUCAGGCAGAACUGAAAUCUACUUUUCAGAAAUUUCCUUCCAAUUUCCUAGUUUUUUGGGCUAACUCUAUUUUGGCUCCUUCAAGCUCAGAUGCAGAAAUAAGAUCACUCUGGAAUUGGGAUAAUUAUUAUUAGUAUUAUUAGUUAUGGGGUUUUAUUAACCAAGUUCAUUUUUUUUACAAUUUAUUUCUUUAUCUUCCACUAAAGUCCUACUUUGAUGCAUCAUGAUGUCACAAAAGGUUUCCUGUAGGUCAGGUCAUUGAAUUGCAAGCUCUGGCAGGUUCUACUAAGCAGAGAAUCUUCAUUAGAAUUAUCUGGCAAGGACUAGUCUAGAAACUCAAGAAUAUCAUCUAAGAGAGAAGGUGAAAUCUGCAGGAAUAGAGUACACACACUCAUUUCAAAGCCCAACGUGUACAUGCUGGAGAAGAGUAAGUUAAAACAGGCCUCUCUGAAAUCCAAAUGGGACCCACAUCUGUGCAAUCUGAUAGAUCCCCCUCUGAGUCCAUUAUUCCAGGUGAGUAUUUCCGGACUUACAAACUUCCAGAUCCCCAGUGAGGCAAGAGAAUUGCCAAAGGACCGUAAACAGGCAGCUUCUUUGAGCACAUCAGGAAACUUCCAUCAAGUCACAGAUCUAUUCCUCUCCCUAAGGGUCAUACACAAGUCAAUAAAAAUUAACUAAACAUUUGGAAACACAACCACAUAAAUGUUAGGACUCUUGCUUUUUCUUUAAAUACACACACACACAUACGAGAACAUGCACAUUGUAAGCCAUUUGCUGAAAACACAUCUUGGCAGGCAGCUGAUCCACAUUUCUUUCUUGUUCCGUUUCUUUAUACAGUUCCUUUUAAAAUCAAACUUUGGCAGACAAAUGGAGGUACCAUAUUAAUGGACACUUGAGAACUCUGGCCAUUUACACAAUACAUUUUUCCCUUCUUAAACUCUGAAGUCUUAAUCCAUGAUACUGAUGGAUGGGCUAAAAUUUUUCAGUUAAAAAUCAUUUUUGAAUCAUAAGAUCUAAUAUAAACAUGUAAAAGUUACACAUUUUAAACAAAAGUAUAUUCCAAGGAUUUUUAAAACAGCUGGGAGGGAAAAAAAUCUCUUUUGGCUUAUGGUUUUAUAUUCAGAUGUUAGCUGAAGAUGAUUUUAAGGUACAAAUAAUUUUGUGUUGACUAUUUUUGGGGGCUGUUUAUCAGAUCAACCAGCACAAUUGCUCUCCUUCCAUCUCCCUUCUGCCCCUUCAGGAUGUUUCUUUAUGUUUUAGAAUCCCUACAUUAAAACCAGGACUUGAAACUCAAAUCAAUUCAUUUUGCCACCUGAAAUAGCUUUAGUCAAAAGUCAGAAGUAGGGAGAAAACUGAGAUGAAAGUUAUAUAUUUGAUAGACUUGGAAUUUUCUGUUGAUUUGAAUUUAGCCAUAUCUCCCAUGUCCAUCUGCCCAAACUCCUACAAUAGCUCAUUGGAGUGUGGAAGUGAUUUUGUAUUCUCAGAUGCCCGCCACUAAGCUCUGAUGAGUUCUACCUGUUGGAAAGGCUUUGAGUAAAACUCAGUCUAGUAACAUAUGUCCCUUGUUUGAGGAGAUAAGAUGAGAGUGGAUCAACAAAAAGGUUGGUGGUGGCAACUGUGGCAAUUGUUCAGACUCUGCAACUCUUAAAAGUCCAUCUCCUUAAGUUGUAAAGGAGUUGUCAUUUAUAGCAACAGAGGGAGCAUCUGCAGCAACAAAAAUCACUGGUUCCUGAAAUUCUGAAAAAUAGAUACUUAAAAACUGGGUUUAAUGCUUAAACAUAAUAGUUCAUAUUUACUCUAUGAUCUAAAAGCUCUCUUGUUAGGACAACCCUAUUAGGUAUUAUUAGUACAUUUUACAUGUAGCUAAUGAGUGACAGAGUCAGAAUUCAAACUCUGAUCUUUGGAUUCCAAAUCUGGAAGACUUAAAAGAUUUUAAAACCACAGCAGCAACUAGAGUACAACCAUGACCUACUUAAGAAUGACUAGAAGAUUAUAAAUUGGUGAACAUGCAAAUCAGACCCCUGCCAUCACUAGAGGUCAAGUUCUGGAUCCCAAUCUCAUCAUAUUAUAGAUCAAACAACUCAGGCACAGAUCAGAUGAACAGUGAUGAAGCAAGUUACCUGCCUCAUCAUGGAGAGGGGUUGGAUUCAAGGUACAGAAUCAGACAUAAUUUUUCAGACAAAGUGGGGAUUUGUUUUUAUUGACUAUGAAUAUUUGUUGAAAGGAUCUUUUUUCAGUUGGAGCGGGUAGGAGGGAGAAAGAUGCUAGGGUUAGAGUGGCCCUCCCAACAAAACAGAAAAGAAUAUCUUUGAAGCAUUUUUAAAAAUGCAUAGAAGAGAACAGAAGGAAUGCCAGAAAGGAAAGCAGAACAGCUUCUGUUGUUCCUUGAUGCAUUGCAGUCUAUUUAAGUAGAGAAGCAAGCUAUAUGUGAUAGAUAUUUACAGUUUAAUGUGCAACCUUCUUUUUCUGUUCUAUGUUUUUUAUGGAAUUUCCAAUGUUCCAAUAGCCAUGAAGGAGGCUGAAGCAGUUGCUUGGAGCCCUUAGAGCUUGGUUAGACAUCUAAGACCCCAGAGUUAUUCACUGUAUCCCAGGCUAUCAAUUAACUUUUGUCUUGACACUGGAAUAACACUGGGGGAGGGGAGAGAGAGAGAGAGAGAGAGAGAGAGAGAGAGAGAGAGAGAGAGACAGAGAGAGAGAGAGACAGAGAGAGACAGAGAGAGAGACAGAGACAGAGAGAGACAGACAGACAGACAGACAGACAGAGACAGAGACAGAGAGAGACAGACAGACAGACAGAGACAGACAGAGAGAGACAGAGACAGAGAUACAGAUACAGAGAGACACAGAGAGAGAGAGACAGAGAGGCAGAGAGAGACAGAGAGAGAGAGACACAGAGAGAGACAGAGAGAGAGAGAGAGAGACACAGAGAGAGACAGAGAGAGAAGGGGGGAGGGAGGUUGAGGGAGAGAUAUGCUAAUAAUGGUGCAAUUCUGCCUUACUUGAAUCCAGUUCACAUGUGAAUCAAGACAUCAUGAGAGUGAUACCAUUGGUGCUCUUUGAAAAUAAAGAGUGAACAACAACAAUAAUAAGGGAAUAAAUUCACAGAUUAAAAAAAAAAGAACCAUAGCGAAGAAAGAUCAUCAUUGGAAAUAUACUUCAGUGUCCUUUUUACCUCUGGUAUGACCCUCCUCAUAAUGUGGAAUUUGGAUUUCAGAAGAUUUAAGUCCAGCCAUUGUCACAGAUACUUAUUAGCUGUGUAAUCCUGGGCAAAUCAUUUAAUUUGGAUAGGCUUUAGUUUCUUAAUCUGCAAAAAAAGGAGAUAAUAAUAACACCUACUUCAUAUUUGUUAGUAGAAUCAAAUGAAAUAAAAAGAAACCAAAUGUUUAUAUAUGAUAAUAUAUAACAUACAUAACAAUAUAUAAUAUACAUGAAUACUUAUAACAUAAUAUAUAUAAUAUAGGGAUAUAUAUCCCUACUUUUAGCUAAGGAUUAAUUUUCUUAGGUCUUUAGUGUCAGUGACAUAGAACAUUUGUGGGACUCAUGGUUAAUCAUUUAAGGACUUCUGUUAUAUUUACAUUAU